UUCGCAAUGCCCGAAAGGGUGACGAAGCGACGCCGCGUGGGUGAAGAAGGCCUUCGGGUUGUAAAACCCUGUCAGGAGUUAUGAAAUGUAAGUGCGCUAAUAUCGUGCUUAUUUGACAAAGGCUCCAAAGGAAGCCACGGCUAACUCUGUGCCAGCAGCCGCGGUAAUACAGAGGUGGCGAGCGUUGUUCGGAAUUAUUGGGCGUAAAGAGCACGUAGGUGGGUUUGCAAGUCAGAUGUGAAAGCCUUCUGUUCAACGGGAGAAUUGCAUCUGAAACUGCUAAUCUUGAGUAUAGGAGGGGAGAAUGGAACUUCUGGUGGAGCGGUGAAAUGCGUAGAUAUCAGAAGGAAUGCCGGCGGCGAAAGCGAUUCUCUGGCCUAUUACUGACACUCAGUGUGCGAAAGCUAGGGGAGCAAACGGGAUUAGAUACCCCGGUAGUCCUAGCCGUAAACGAUGGGCACUAAGUAGA
rnacentral:rRNA from 1 species